AACGGAGGGUGCAAGCGUUAAUCGGAAUUACUGGGCGUAAAGCGCACGUAGGUUGCCCUGUAAGUCAGGGGUGAAAGCCGCGGCUUAACCGCGGAACUGCCCUUGAUACUGCAGGACUUGGAUCCGGGAGAGGUCAGCGGAAUUCCAGGUGCAGGAGUGAAAUCCGUAGAUAUCUGGAGGAACAUCAGCGGCGAAGGCGGCUGACUGGACCGGCAUUGACGCUGAGGUGCGGAAGCGUGGGUAGCAAACA
rnacentral:rRNA from 1 species